GUUAACAUGGCAGAGUGGUCUAAGGCAUCGGUUUAGACAUUUACAUCCAAACGGAUGUGGGUUCAAGUCCCACUUUUGGCA